CACGUAGGCGGCUUUUUAAGUCAGGGGUGAAAUCCCGGGGCUCAACCCCGGAACUGCCCUUGAAACUGGGAAGCUAGAAUCUUGGAGAGGCGAGUGGAAUUCCGAGUGUAGAGGUGAAAUUCGUAGAUAUUCGGAAGAACACCAGUGGCGAAGGCGACUCGCUGGACAAGUAUUGACGCUGAGGUGCGAAAGCGUGGGGAGCAAACA
rnacentral:rRNA from 1 species